UCUAACUUUUAAGAGCUUAAAAUCAAGUAUAGCUAUCCCAAACAAUUAAGUAUACCUCAGACAAUAAUCACAAAAAAUCACAGGGAAAAAAAGGAAAAUAAUUCUUGACACAAUUACAGAGAGAAAAAAAGGAAACAUACAAUUUGAUUCUGUCAAUGGAAGAGAAUGUAAGAAGUUCCAGAGGACACAGAUUUUGAAAGUGGUGGUGGUGCUAGCCGAUCCGUGGCCUUCUUUUCAGAAAUGGAUCUCUCUCAAACGCCGAAGAACAAGAUGCUAUGGACUUUGG
rnacentral:lncRNA from 1 species